GUGUUUGCUUUGGCAGCACAUAUACUAAAAAUUGGAACGAUACAGAGAAGAUUAGCAUGGCCCCUGUGCAAGGAUGACACGCAAAUUCAUGAAGCAUUCCAUAAAAAA
ensembl:snRNA U6 U6 spliceosomal RNA